CCUACGGGAGGCAGCAGUGAGGAAUAUUGGUCAAUGGGCGGGAGCCUGAACCAGCCAAGCCGCGUGAGGGAAGAAGGUACAGCGUAUCGUAAACCUCUUUUGUCAGGGAACAAAGGCGGGGACUAGUCCCCGGAUGAGGGUACCUGAAGAAAAAGCAUCGGCUAACUCCGUGCCAGCAGCCGCGGUAAUACGGAGGAUGCGAGCGUUAUCCGGAUUUAUGGGGGUUAAAGGGUGCGCAGGCGGCCUGUUAAGUCAGCGGUAAAAGCGCGGGGCUCAACCCCGGCGAGCCGUUGAAACUGGCGGGCUGGAGUUGGAGAGAAGUACGCGGAAUGCGCGGUGUAGCGGUGAAAUGCUUAGAUAUCGCGCAGAACCCCGAUUGCGAAGGCAGCGUACCGGCUCCACACUGACGCUGAGGCACGAAAGCGUGGGUAUCGAACAGGAUUAGAUACCCCAGUAGUC
rnacentral:rRNA from 1 species